UACAGAGGUCUCAAGCGUUGUUCGGAUUCAUUGGGCGUAAAGGGUGCGUAGGUGGCGGGGCAAGUCUGGUGUGAAAUCCCGGGGCUCAACCCUGGAACUGCACUGGAUACUGCUUUGCUAGAGUACUGGAGAGGGAACUGGAAUUUACGGUGUAGCAGUGAAAUGCGUAGAUAUCGUAAGGAAGACCGGUGGCGAAGGCGAGUUCCUGGACAGUUACUGACACUGAGGCACGAAGGCCAGGGGAGCAAACGGG
rnacentral:rRNA from 1 species